rnacentral:rRNA from 1 species
GGUUCAUUCAAAUUUCUGCCCUAUCAACUUUCGAUGGUAGGAUAGUGGCCUACCAUGGUUUCAACGGGUAACGGGGAAUUAGGGUUCUAUUCCUGGAGAGGGAGCUGAGAAACGGCUACCACAUCCAAGGAAGGCAGCAGGCGCGCAAAUUACCCAAUCCCGACCGGGGAGGUAGUGACAAUAAAUACUGAUACAGGGCUCUUUUGGGUCUUGUAAUUGGAAUGAGUACAAUUUAAAUCCCUUAACGAGGAACAAUUGGAGGGCAAGUCUGGUGCCAGAAGCGAGGUAAUUCCAGCUCCAAUAGCGUAUAUUCACGUCGUCGCAGUUAAAAAGCUCGUAGUUG